ACAAAUUCAAGUUAAACAAAUAACAGGAAUGCAAGUUCUGAAACGACACAAACUCAAGUUCUGAAACGACACAAACUCAAGUUCAACCAACACCCAAAUCUCAAGUUUAACAAUUGCCACAACCUCAAGUUCAACAAAUACACAAACUCAAAUUCAAACACACCACAAACUCAAGUUAAAAACACGACACAAACUCAAGUUCAAAAAAACCAUAAACUCAAGUUCAACCAAUACCCAAUUCUCAAGUUUAACAAUUUCCACAACUUCAAGUUCAAAAACAACACAGACUCAAGUUCAAAAAAACCAAAAACUCAAGUUCAAACACGACACAACCUCAAGUUCAACAAAAACCACAAACUCAAGUUCAACCAACACAUGAUUCUCACGUUUAAAAAUUUUCAGAACCUCAAGUUCAAAAAACACACAAAUUCAAGUUAAACAAAUAACAGGAAUGCAAGUUCUGAAACGACACAAACUCAAGUUCAACCAACACCCAAAUCUCAGGUUUAACAAUUGCCACAACCUCAAGUUCAACUAACACAAAAACUCAAGUUCAACAAAUGCCACAAACUCAAAUUCAAACAUGAAAAAAACUCAAGUUCAAAAACACUACAAACUCAAGUUCAACCAAAACCCAGUUCUCAAGCUUAACAAUUUCCCAGCCUCAAGUUCAAAAAACACACAAACUCAAGUUAAACAAACAACACGAACUCAAGUUCAAAAACAACAAAAACUCAAGUUCAACCAACACCCAAUUUCAAGUUUAACAAUUUUCACAACCUGAAGUUCAAAAACAACACAGUCUAAAGUUAAAAAAAACAAACACAAGUUUAAACACGAAACAAAAUCAAGUUCAAAAACUCCACAAAGUCAAGUUCAAACAACAUAAACUCAAGUUCAACAAACACACAAAGUCAAGUUCAAACACAUCACAAACUCAAUUUUAACAAUUGCCACAACCUCAAGUUCAAACAAUUCCACACCCUCAAGUUCAAAAACACCACAAACUCAAGUUCAAACUCGACACAAACUGAAGUUCAACAAAUGCCCAAAACUCAAAUUCAAACACGAAACAAACUCAAGUUAAAAAAACACCACAAACUCAAGUUCAAACACAACACAAACUCAAGUUCAACAAACACACAAACUCAAGUUCAAACAUGACAUUAACUCAAGUUCAACAAACACACAGACUCAAAAUUAACAAUUGCCAAAACCUCAAGUUCAAACAAUUUCACACCCUCAAGUUCAAAAACACCACAAACUCAGGUUCAAAAACACCAGAAACUCAAGUUCAAACACGAAACAAACUAAAGUUCAACAAACGCCACAAACUCAAGUUCAAACAUGAAACAAACUCAAGUUCAACAAACACACAAAUCUCAAGUUUAAAAAUUGCCACAACCUCAAGUUCAACAAACACACAAACUCAGCUUCAAAAAUAAUACAAACUCAAGUUAAAAACACGACACAAACUAAAGUUCAACAAACGUCAAGAACUCAAGUUCAACCAAUACCCAAUUCCCAAUUUUAAAAAUUUCCACAACCUCAAGUUAAAAAAAAAACACAGACUCAAAUAUAAAAACACCACAAUCUCAAGUUCAAACAUGACACAAACUCAAGUUCAACCAACACCCAAAUCUCAAGUUUUACAAUUGCCACAACCUCAAGUUCAACUUAUACACAAACUUAAGUUCAAACACGACACAAACUCAAGUUCAACAAACACACAAACUCAAGUUUAACAAUUGCCACAACCUCAAGUCCAAACAAUUCCACACCCUCAAGUUCAAAAACACCACAAACUCAAGUUCAAACACGACACAAACUCAAGUUCAACAAACACACAAAGUCAAGUUCAAACACAUCACAAACUCAAGUUCAACAAACACACAAACUCAAGUUUAACAAUUGCCACAACCUCAAGGUGAAACAAUUUCACACCCUCAAGUUCAAAAACACCACAAACUCAAGUUCAAACACGACACAAACUCAAGUUCAACAAAUGCCCAAAACUCAAAUACAAACAUGAAAAAAACUCAAGUUAAAAAAAAAACCACAAACUCAAGUUCAAACACAACACAAACUCAAGUUCAACAAACACACAAACUCAAGUUUGAACAUGACACCAACUCAAGUUCAACAAACACACAAACUCAAAAUUAACAAUUGCCAAAACCUCAAGUUCAAAAAAUUUCACACCCUCAAGUUCAAAAACGCCACAAACUCAAGUUCAAACAUGAAACAAACUCAAGUUCAAAAACACCAAAAACUCAUUUUCAAACACAACACUUACUCAAGUUCAACAAACACACAAACUCAACUUCAAAAAUAAUACAAACUCAAGUUAAAUACACGACACAAACUCAAGUUCAACAAACGUCAAGAACUCAAGUUCAACCAAUACCCAAUUCCAAAUUUUAAAAAUUUCCACAAACUUAAGUUAAAAAAAAACACAGACUCAAAUAUAAAAACACCACAAUCUCAAGUUCAAACAUGACACAAACUCAAGUUCAACCAACACCCAAAUCUCAAGUUUAACAAUUGCUACAACCUCAAGUUCAACAAACACACAAACUUAAGUUCAAACACACAACAAACUCAAGUUCAAAAAUGACACAAACUCAAGUUCAACAAACACACAAACUCAAGUUCAACCAAUACUCAAUUCUCAAGUUUAACAAAUUCCACACCAUCAAGUUCAAACACACCACAAACUCAAAUUCAAACACGACACAAACUAUAGUUCAACCAACAGCCAAAUCUCAAGUUUAACAAUUGUCAAAACCUCAAGUUCAACAAACACACAGUCAAGUUCAAAAAAUGCCACAAACUAAAGUUCAAACAUGAAACAUUGUCAAGUAAAAAAUACACAAAAUAAAAUUCAACAAACACACAAACUCAAGUUCAACCACUACCCAAUUCUCAAGUUUAAAAAAUUCCAAACACUCAAGUUCAAAGACACCACAAACUCAUGUUCAAAAACAAGACAAAGUCCAGUUCAAAAACAAGACAAAGUCCAGUUCAAACACGACACAUACUCAAGUUCAACAAACGCCACAAACUCAAGUUCAAACACGAAACAAUCUCAAGUUCAAAAACACCACAAACUCAUGUUCAAACACAACACAAACUCAAGUUCAACAAACACACAAACUCAAGUUCAAAAACACGACAAACUCAAGUUGAAACACGACACAAACUCAAUUUCAACAAACAAACAAACUCAAAUUCAACCAACACCUGAGUUCAAAGUUCAAAAGUUCAAAAACAAAAGAAAACUCAAGCUCAAAACACACAGAAACACAAGUUCAAAAACGACAAAAACUCAAGUUCAAAAACACCACCCACUCAAGUUCAAAAGGACCACAAACUCAAGUUCAACAUAACACACCAACUCAAGUUCAAACACACCACAAACUCAAGUUCAAACACAAGACAAACUCAAGUUCAACAAACGCCACAAACUCAAGUUCAAACAAUACCCAAUUCUCAAGUUUAACUAAAUUCCAGGUCCUCAAGUUUAAAAACAAAACGAACUCAAGUUCAAAAACACCACAAACUCAAGUUCAAAAACAACACAAACUCAAGUUCAACAAAAACCACAAACUCAAGUUUAAACACGAAACUCAAGUUCAAAAACACCACCCACUCAAGUUCAAAAGGACCACAAACUCAAGUUCAACAAAAAACAAAAUCAAGUUUAAAUACACCACAAACUUAAGUUCAACAGAAAAACUCAAGUUCAAACACGACACAAAAUCAAGUUCAACUAAAACACAAACUCAAGUUUAACAAUUGCCACAACCUCAAGUUCAACAAAUUCCACACCCUCAACUUAAAAAAAAACACAAACUCAAGUUCAAAAACACCACAAACUCAAGUUCAAACACGACACAAUCUCAAGUUCAACAAAAACCACAAACUCAAGUUUAAACACGAAACUAAAGUUCAAAAACACCACCCAUUCAAGUUCAAAAGGACCACAAACUCAAGUUCAACAAACACACAAAAUCAAAUUCAAAAACACCACAAACUCAUAUGCAAACACAACACAAACUCAAGUUCAACAAACACCACAAACUCAAGUUCAAACAGAACACAAACUAGAGUUCAAAUAACACAGAAACUCAAGUUCAGAAAACACAGAAACUCAAGUUCAACAAAAACACAUAAUCAAGUUCAAAAACACCCCAAACUCAAGUGCAAACAUGACACAAACUCAAGUUUAUCCAACACCAAAAUCUCAAGUUUAACAAUUGCCACAACCUCAAGUUCAACAAUCACACAAACUCAAGUUCAACAAAAACCACAAACUCAAGUUCAAACACAAAACUCAAGUUCAAAAACACCACCAACUCAAGUUCUAAAAUACCACAAACUAAAGUUCAACAAACACAAAAAGUCAAGUUCAAAAACUACAAAAACUCAAGUUCAACCAACACCCAAAUCUCAUGUUAAACAAUUGCCACAACCUCAAGUUCAACAAUCACACAAACUCAAGUUCAAACACGACACAAACUAGAGUUCAAACAAGACACAAACUCAAGUUUAACUAAUUCCACACCCUCAACUUCAAAAUUACCACAAACUCAAGUUCAAAAACACCACAAACUCAAGUUCAAACACGACACAAACUCAAGUUCAACAAAAACCACAAACUCAAGUUCAAACACGAAACUCAGGUUCAAAAACACCACCAACUCAAGUUCAAAAACACCACAAACUCAAGUUCAAGAAAAACACAAAAUCAAGUUCAAAAACACUAAAAACUCAAGUGCAAACACGACAUAAACUCAAGUUCAAACAAUACCCAAUUCUCAAGUUUAACUAAAUUCCAGGUCCUCAAGUUUAAAAACAAAACGAACUCAAGUUCAAAAACACCACAAACUCAAGUUCAAAAACAACACAAACUCAAGUUCAACAAAAACCACAAACUCAAGUUUAAACACGAAACUCAAGUUCAAAAACACCACCCACUCAAGUUCAAAAGGACCACAAACUCAAGUUCAACAAAAAACAAAAUCAAGUUUAAAUACACCACAAACUUAAGUUCAACAGAAAAACUCAAGUUCAAACACGACACAAAAUCAAGUUCAACUAAAACACAAACUCAAGUUUAACAAUUGCCACAACCUCAAGUUCAACAAAUUCCACACCCUCAACUUAAAAAAAAACACAAACUCAAGUUCAAAAACACCACAAACUCAAGUUCAAACACGACACAAUCUCAAGUUCAACAAAAACCACAAACUCAAGUUUAAACACGAAACUAAAGUUCAAAAACACCACCCAUUCAAGUUCAAAAGGACCACAAACUCAAGUUCAACAAACACACAAAAUCAAAUUCAAAAACACCACAAACUCAUAUGCAAACACAACACAAACUCAAGUUCAACAAACACCACAAACUCAAGUUCAAACAGAACACAAACUAGAGUUCAAAUAACACAGAAACUCAAGUUCAGAAAACACAGAAACUCAAGUUCAACAAAAACACAUAAUCAAGUUCAAAAACACCCCAAACUCAAGUGCAAACAUGACACAAACUCAAGUUUAUCCAACACCAAAAUCUCAAGUUUAACAAUUGCCACAACCUCAAGUUCAACAAUCACACAAACUCAAGUUCAACAAAAACCACAAACUCAAGUUCAAACACAAAACUCAAGUUCAAAAACACCACCAACUCAAGUUCUAAAAUACCACAAACUAAAGUUCAACAAACACAAAAAGUCAAGUUCAAAAACUACAAAAACUCAAGUUCAACCAACCCAAAUCUCAUGUUAAACAAUUGCCACAACCUCAAGUUCAACAAUCACACAAACUCAAGUUCAAACACGACACAAACUAGAGUUCAAACAAGACACAAACUCAAGUUUAACUAAUUCCACACCCUCAACUUCAAAAUUACCACAAACUCAAGUUCAAAAACACCACAAACUCAAGUUCAAACACGACACAAACUCAAGUUCAACAAAAACCACAAACUCAAGUUCAAACACGAAACUCAGGUUCAAAAACACCACCAACUCAAGUUCAAAAACACCACAAACUCAAGUUCAAGAAAAACACAAAAUCAAGUUCAAAAACACUAAAAACUCAAGUGCAAACACGACAUAAACUCAAGUUCAACAAGCAUCACAUACUCAAGUUCAAACACGACACAAACUCAAGUUCAAAUGCAACACAAACUGAAGUUCGACAAACACACAAAGUCAAGUUUCAAAACACCACAAACUCAAGUUCAAACAUUAAACAAACUCAGGUUCAAAACACCACAAACUCAAGUUAAAAAAAAAUUCAAGUUCAACAAACACACUUACUCAAGUUCAAAACCCCAAAAACUCAAGUUCAAAAACAGCAAAAACUCAAGUUCAACCAACACCCAAAUCUCAAGUACACAAACUCAAGUACAACAAAUGCCACAAACUCAAGUACAACAAACACUACAAACUAAAGUUCAGUGAAAAAUACAGACUCAAGUUCAACAAUUGCCACAAACUCAAGUUCAACAAACACCACAAUCUCAAUUUCAACAAAUGACCUAAACUCACAUUUAACAAUUGCCAAAAACUCAAGUUCAACAAACUCAAGUUCAAAAAUUGCCACAACCUCAAGUUCAAUAAACACAUAAACUCAAGUUCAAACACGACACAAACUCAAGUUCAACAAACACACAAACUCAAGUUUAACAAUUGCCACAACCUCAAGUUCAACAAGUUACACACCCCCAAGUUCAAAAACACCAAAACCUAAAGUUCGAAAAACACACAAACUCAAGUUCAAACAAGACACAAACUCAGGUACAACAAAUGCCACAAACUCAAGUACAACAAACGCUACAAACUAAAGUUCAGUGAAAAAUACAGACUCAAGUUCAACACUUGCCACAAACUCAAGUUCAACAAACACCACAAUCUCAAUUUCAACAAAUGACCUAAACUCACAUUUAACAAUUGCCAAAAACUCAAGUUCAACAAACUCAAGUUCAAAAAUUGCCACAACCUCAAGUUCAAUAAACACAUAAACUCAAGUUCAAACACGACACAAACUCAAGUUCAACAAACACACAAACUCAAGUUUAACAAUUGCCACAACCUCAAGUUCAAAAACAACGGAAACUCAAGUUCAAACACGCCACAAACUCAAGUUCAACAAACACACAAACUCAAGUUCAAUCACAACACAAACUCAAGUUCUUAACAACACAAACUCAGGUUAAAAAAACACACAAGCUCAAGUUCAAAAACACCCCAAACUGAAGUUCAAACAUGACACAAACUCAAGUUCAAAAAAAUCCCAAAUCUCAAGUUCAACAAUUUCCACAACCUCAAGUUCAAAAACAACAGAAACUCAAGUUAAAACACGCCACAAACUCUAGUUCAACAAACACACAAACUCAAGUUCAAAAACACCACAAACCCAAGUUCAACCAACACCCAAAUCUCAAGUUUAACAAUUGCCACAAACCUUAGUUAAAAAAAACACACAAACUCAAGUUCAACCAACACCCAAAUCUCAAGUUUAACAAUUGCCACAACCUCAAGGUCAACAAAUUACACACCCCCAAGUUCAAAAACACCACAAACUCAAGUUCAACAAACACACAAACUCAAGUUUAACAAUUGCCACAACCUCAAGUUCAACAAAUUACACACCCCCAAGUUCAAAAACACCACAAACUCAAGUUCAACAAACACACAAACUCAAGUUUAACAAUUGCCACAACCUCAAGUUCAACAAAUUACACACCCCCAAGUUCAAAAACACCACAAACUCAAGUUCAACAAACACACAAACUCAAGUUUAACAAUUGCCACAACCUCAAGUUCAACAAAUUACACACCCCCAAGUUCAAAAACACCACAACCUAAAGUUCAACAAACACACAAACUCAAGUUCAAACAAGACACAAACUCAAGUACAACAAAUGCCACAAACUCAAGUACAACAAACGCUACAAACUAAAGUUCAGUGAAAAAUACAGACUCAAGUUCAACAAUUGCCACAAACUCAAGUUCAACAAACACCACAAUCUCAAUUUCAACAAAUGACCUAAACUCACAUUUCACAAUUGCCAAAAACUCAAGUUCAACAAACUCAAGUUAAAAAAUUGCCACAAACUCAAGUUCAAAAACACACAAACUCAAGUUAAAAAAUGCUGAAACUGAAGUUCAACGAACACCACAAACUUCAACAAAUGUCAAAGUUUGAAGUUCAACCAACACCCAAAUAUCAAGUUUAACAAUUGCCACAACCUCAAGUUCAAAAACAACGGAAACUCAAGUUCAAACACGCCACAAACUCAAGUUCAACAAACACACAAACUCAAGUUCAAUCACAACACAAACUCAAGUUCUUAACAACACAAACUCAGGUUAAAAAAACACACAAGCUCAAGUUCAAAAACACCCCAAACUGAAGUUCAAACAUGACACAAACUCAAGUUCAAAAAAAUCCCAAAUCUCAAGUUCAACAAUUUCCACAACCUCAAGUUCAAAAACAGAAACUCAAGUUCAACAAACGCCACAAACUCAAGUUCAAACACAACACAAACUCAAGUUCAAAAACACCACAAACCCAAGUUCAACCAACACCCAAAUCUCAAGUUUAACAAUUGCCACAAACCUUCAAAAACAACGGAAACUCAAGUUCAAACACGCCACAAACUCAAGUUCAACAAACACACAAACUCAAGUUCAAAAACACCACAAACUCAAGUUCUUAACAACACAAACUCAGGUUCAAAAAACACACAAACUCAAGUUCAAAAACACCAGAAACUCAAGUUCAAACAUGUCACAAACUCAAGUUCAACCAACACCCAAAUCUCAAGUUUAACAAUAGCCACAACCUCAAGUUCAAAAGCAACAGAAACUCAACUUCAAACAUGAGACAAGCUCAAGUUCAACAAACACACAAACUCAAGUUCAAUCAAUACCCAACUCUCAAGUUUAACAAUUUCCACAACCUCAAGUUCAAAAAUUGCAAAAAAAACAAGUUCAAAUACGACACAAACUCAAGUUCAACCAACACCCAAAUCUCAAGUUUAACAUUUGCCAAAACCUCAAGUUCAAAAACAACACAAACUCAAGUUCAAACACGCCACAAACUUAAGUUCAACAAACACACAAACUCAAGUUCAAAAACACCACAAAUUCAGGUUCAAAGGUGUUGAGACCAAGAGCGACUUCGGCGACGGCUCCCAAUGCAAAGUCUAUGGACAGCCGCGACCUGACGCGACUUGGCGACUGCCAGCUACCUGCGUCGCGUUGCCGAGGUCGCGUCGCCGAGGUCGCGUCGCCGAGGUCGCAGGACGCCAAGUCUCGUCGCUCCCAAAGUUCAAAUAUUUUAACUGGGCUGAGGGAUGUAUAUAUGAGGGAGAAAAGGAGGGAGAAGGAAGGUAGGAGAAGCGGGUCAGCAGCGACCAGCCGCGUCCUGCGACCGCAGCUUUGGACCCGGUGUGAACACACCAGAGCACCACGCGACGCGACCUGGUCGCGGCUGCAAUUACACCUAAUCCGCGGAGCCAAAUCCUUGCUGGUACUGACAUUAGUCUUGCUGUGCUCAGACUACAAUGAUAGACGCAUUGUGGAUUGCGGAGAUGAGCCUGUGAUGCUUAAAUAUCGUGAUGCCCGGCUGUUUAAAUCUCCGACCUUGGCUGAAUUCAUAGCUUUCGGAGUAUUUGUAGAUGUCAUAUGUAAAGUGUUUUCAGCACGCAGAACUGAACUGGACACAAAUCUCGCCAUUAUUUCUGAUUCAGCCAUGACAUAGGGAGGGUCAUUAUUCUAGGAACAUUACAAAUCAUUUUCAGCAAAGCUGCUAAGUACAUUCAAAGAUUCAGCCAAAGACUUGAUCAGUCCGUAGUCGACCUGGCUCUAAUCAGUUAACAAUUCACCAAGCAUCAAGCUUUUUCCUGCUUAAUCUGCGGGUCUUUCUCUCACCUGGAGGUGAAAGUAAGCCAUUACGCAGCAGUACGCCAUUUCGGGAGGACAUAAUCAGCUGUUUAAAGUUGUCACCCCUGUCAUGUAUCUAGGCUUAGUCAUUUGCUGCACAUCAGUCUGCACUCUGCGUUAUAACCGAAGUAAUACAAUAGGACCAUGCCGCUUGAGAGUGAGUGGUAUUUGUUUACAAAUAAACUCCAAGUGGGAGCACCAGUGCGCACUUUUGAUUGGACGCUGGUUGCCUAGGUGCAGGGGCCUGCCUUCCGCCUUUUGCGGAAGGAGGGAAUUUUUAUAGAGUCAGCUGCUUCAAACUUAAUGCAGAAAUAAGACAAAAUGCAGAGGAAAAAAAAAUAAAAAUAAAAUAAUAAUAAUUUUAUGUUUAAGAGAGAGAUACAGCAGAUGAUGAUACUGUGGCAUCGGAGUCAGCAACUCGCUUAACUUGGGUGUGCUCCUCUUGUACAAAGUCUACGGGUACAGUACCUGGAGGAACCUUAUCCUACCUUGUCCACCCCUGCCCACACCUCUAAUCGGUGCCCUCAAACUGUGGCUACAGGCCAACCACCCAAGCCUCUCUAAGCCUACUACUCGGAGAAGCCAAGUUACUCCAAGGAUGGGCAUCUGAAAUCAGCAUGCCCAUGACGCACCCACCUGGUAAAACGGGAAAGAACAAAGCUGUCUACUCUGUCAAAUGUCCUUGAGCUGGGGAAGGCACAGGCAAAGCAUCCCAACGGCUGUUCGUGAAGCCAUUCAUUCAGACUGCGUUAGUCUGAGUGCAGCCUUGCAAUCCUUAGUGCUCUCUGUUGACAGCUACUUGAGAGCUGGUUAAGCAAAAUCAGCAUUAAAGUUUAUACGAUUCUGCAUGGUCUCACUUUACCUCUUUUGUACCACCUUCUCUGUAGCCCCAACGCCCUAAAUAUAUCCAUUGUAUGUUCUUUAAUAGUCCACGGUUUUGAAUCUCGCACUUUUUUUUUCUUUCUAAUAUUUCCAAAACUAACUCUGUCUUUGUUCUUUAUCCUCCAUGUCCCGCUGCCUGAGAGGCCGGCCACUGGCCAGCCAGCAAGAGUCUCUCUUUGCCACUGAAGAAGGGAAACCUAUAUUCAGAUUGCAGCUUUCUGCUCACCUCUGCCUGCUCCGCCUGCUCUGCUGGCUCCUACCUGAGUACAACUCUACGCAUUCGCCACGCAUAGGCACAGCUACAACUGCAUCUUCCAUCGUCCCCGUCUCGACGCUCAAGGCUAUGGGUCGAUGGUCCCGAUCAGCCUUUGAAUGAUACCUCAGGCCCAAGGCUGAUAUAUUAUUAUUAUUAGAAUAUUCCUAUGCUCGAUUAGCUACAAAAAAAAAUUGCUGCUGCUCCUUAAUUCUUUCCCAUAUCUAUUGCAUUACGCAUAUUCCCAACUAUAAAUUUGUGUAUGGAUUAAAUUAAGCCUGAUCCAUGAUCAUGUUGUGAGGGUAACCAAUACUAUGCAAGCUUUGUAGGUGGGUAGGUUGCUUCAUAGUUUCUCGCUGCUGGCUGCCCUCCCUCCCCCGUAGGUGCCUUCAUGUAGCUCAUGAAAGCUGGGGAGGGUUGCCAGUAUGGCUGCUGCUUUUUCUGCCUUGGCUUUUCAUAUAUGCACAUGAAAGGGAGGGGAGGGCAUUCCCUCUCAUUGCCUUGGGAUUCUAUGCAAGCACAUGACAGAGCAGAGAACUCUCAGAACAGAGCCGUACCGACAAUGUUAAAAAAAAUUUUUGCUAGUAAUAAAUAAUUGAUUCUAACUAAAGUAGUCCUGACUGAAAUUAAGCAUGGCUGUAGUUCAGGCAGGACACAAGGUACAGUCAAGCUAAAGGUUAAAGCCAGCUGAUCUUAAGCUAGCCCUCAGUCAGAUGACAGCUUAGCUGAUUGCCCUCCACACAUCCUUCAGAUCGCUACACUGCUCAUUCCUUUCACAUAGGUGCAGCUACAACCGCAGCUAUGACGGCUCCUGUGUCGACCCUCAAAGCCAUGGGCCAAUAGUCGUCAGCUGCGUACAAACGCUAUCUGCGCCCCGAGGCUCGGGACAUUCUCGAAGCCCAAAAACUAUGAGUACCCAUAACUUUGGCACAUAGAUGCUAAUUAAAUGAAAUAUAUAAACACACCGCAAAUAAAUAUCCAUGCUUGGGCAACGGGUCUCUCUAACCCGUCUUUCUUUCAGCAGCGCUCACCU